CUGAGGGGAAGAGAAAUUCGAUGUGCCACACGUUUCCGAGGAGGGAAACCAGACGUACUUUCGGGCUCAGCGUAUACACGAGGUUUGUCUUUGCCCCACUCCGGUCGGACUCUGACACUGAUUGUCUGGUUUCUGCUCCCCCUCCUCGUCUGCAGAGGUACUGGAUGGCUUGAUGCUGACAGUGGUAUGGGAUCAACGGGAAGAAGGAUACUGCUCGUUGGUCGUUUCUGAUCUGAAAUCGGAACCCGCAGCUCAGGUAGCAGAUACCCGCCUCUGGAAAUCUCGUCUGAUGACAAACGAUGGGAAACACCAUGAUCUCCAUUUGUACGAGUGCGGCCAAAGGGGAUAUACUGGACAACAGGAUUCUCAUUGGCGUCAAGCGCUGCGCCUUCUGUCUCACCCUCGCCGUCUUGAUCAAGCAUGAGAGCCGAAUCGCAGUGGGAAAAACGUGUCGAUGCCCUUGCUGAGCUUAUCCUGGUGGGGCUGCGGUAGCCGGGAGCUCUGGAACAGACACAGUCAGGGUCUCGGACCCAGGUGGAUGUCCUCGAACGCCUCAUUCUCUCGGACUGUGAUGAUGGGUCUUGCUUGGGCCUGUUUCAGAGGGGAAAUUUGUCUGGUGUGUACCUGGCGAUUACUAGUCGUCACAAUAUAAAAUGGGGGAAGCCUUGUUCCGAGAAAUUACGGACACAUGGG
rnacentral:lncRNA from 1 species